rnacentral:lncRNA from 1 species
GUGUACCACUGUACGUUGAUUACUAUGCUGAGGAAGCGAGCGCAAUUUUCGCGUCUCUUUGCCACCACACAAUCGCCGCCACACUCACGGCCAACGCCACUAUCAUUGCCUCUAUCGCUGCUGCCACGCCGUACUCACACUCUCCGACGAGCGCAGCCAUAAACAAGCGGCGCAACAACAAGCCAGAGCCAACUAACUGCACAUAUACACAGCAAAAUGGAAUGGGUGGAGGGGCAGACUGGCUGAUAACUAUAUGUAUAUGUAUUCGUAUAUAUAGAUAUGUGUAUAUGUGUGCAUAGCGAACGCAGCGCAGCGCGGCACACACAUAGCAAACGCCAAGAUACAAUACAGACACGUCGACUACAAACAAACUUAUAAAUUGUACAUGUGUUUAUGUAUGUUUGAGUGUAUGUAUGUAUGUAUGAGUGAAUGUAGGUAUAUGUAUGUAUGCAUGUAUAUAUGGCUGUGCAUACGUUGAACAGCAUACAACUUUAGCGUUCGUUCGUGUACACUUGGCUUCGCUUGGCGCUGACACAGCGGUGACGGCACGUUCAGAUUCAUUCUGCGAUUCCUCGAGGACGUAACGAAAAACGUCGGUGUGCGCGUCAUACUAUACCGCCGAACAGAACAGACAAGGCAUAACAGACAACUAAUAACUAACCAAGUGUAGAAUCAAAAAAAAAAAAGUCAGCAAGUAAGCAUUGAUUGCAAGCAACAAAUCAAGCUCGACGCAGCACGACCUUUUAAAUAAUAGCGCAAACAAUAACAACAACUAACAAACAGUGAUUUACUUUGCAUUUUGGGCAGAUUAAGAAUACGAGGUAACAGCAGCAGAAGUAGAAGCAGUGUAAUUGGAUUAAUAAUAUAAGCAAAAAAUCAGUUUUGAAGUAGCCAAAAAGCUGCAAAGUGAAGUUGAAAAGUAAUCAAAAAAAUUGAAAAAAAAAAUUAAAAAAAGUUAAAUACAAAAUAAAUUUUCGAAAUUAAGCAUUUCUAAAAACUAGAAAGAUUUUGAAAAAAUUUAAAUUUCGAAAAAUUCAGAAAUUCAAAAAAUUGCAAAAUAAUAAUACUACUUGCAAGCGCCUAGUCUUCAGCAUUUACUGUUUGCCGGCUUCCAGACAAUAACAGAAUAACACAAGUAACGUACAAGCAAGCGCCUGGCGUAGCUGCAACAACAAAUCAAAUAAAUUGUGUGUGUGCGAGCGAUUUUUGAGUGAUUUCACGGCAAAACUGCUUAUUAGCAACAAAAUAUCAAAUCUGCUUUCUAAUAUAGCUUACGAGCGGAAGUCGUACUCACGUGUGCCAGCAAGCUUAGGCAGCCUAUAUGUGUGUGCAUGUGCGUGUGCAUUUGCCAGUGUAUAUAUUUAGGCGAAUUCGCGUGCUAAUGCAGUGAAACCGAGAGCAAAAACAAAAAAAGCAUACUAGAAAUAAACACGAAAAAAAUGCAAAAACUGUGAAAUACGAAAGAAGCACGAUUUCCGCUUAACAACCGAGAGUUAUGCCACACGCAACGGCAUAAACAAAUGCUGCAAAGGAAUAAGAGCAAAAAAAGCGCCUAAACUAACAGCACGACAUAAAUGCAGCAUAACGCUGGCAAAGCAAAGCAUACAAUCUAGUGUUGUUAUCAAUCGCUG